CCUCCUGACCACCAUCGGUU
rnacentral:misc_RNA from 1 species